rnacentral:tRNA from 1 species
CGCUGAAUGACGGAAUAGCAAACGGUUUCCUAAACCGUAGGUCAGGGGUUCGAAUCCCUUCCGGGACGCCA